GGGGCUGAUUUUGGUUUCGACAGCAGAUAGGUUAACAUGUAAGCAUGCCGGGCUAGGUAACAGAUCCCGUUAUCCUUAGUUACAAAAACAUCAAAUGGCGAAAAUACUGAAUUCGCUCUUGCUGCGUAAUUGAAUUAUAGUAAAUUACACUUAAUCUAGCGCAACGCUGGAGCAAGACAUCUCGCUAACAGGUUGUUCCUGUUUCCUUUUAGCAAUAGAGGUGUCACAAUUACAGGAUAGUUGAUACAGGUCUCGAUGUGUUGGCGAAAAUUAAGAGAAUUGGCAUUAAAUAAGGCUGCUUUUUGUCGUGUUAAUGCUGAAAACCAAUAAAAAGAUAAGCAUGUAGAAAGCAUUUUAGUCGUUUGUUUGGACCGGGGUUCGAUUCCCCGCAGCUCCACAA
rnacentral:tmRNA from 1 species